AAAGUACGUUUCACCCGUCGGGUGACAGGGAGACGAGGUGGUGCAUGGUUGUCGUCAGCUCGUGUCGUGAGAUGUUGGGUUAAGUCCCGCAACGAGCGCAACCCUACGUUUAGUUGCUAACAGGUGAAGCUGAGCACUCUAGACGAACUGCCGUUGACAAAACGGAGGAAGGUGGGGACGACGUCAAAUCAUCAUGCCCCUUAUGUUCUGGGCUACACACGUGCUACAAUGGCCGGUACAGACGGAGGCGAAGCCGCGAGGCGGAGCAAAUCCGAAAAAAGCCGGUCUCAGUUCGGAUUGCAGGCUGCAAUUCGCCUGCAUGAAGUCGGAAUCGCUAGUAAUCGCGGAUCAGCACGCCGCGGUGAAUACGUUCCCGGGCCUU
rnacentral:rRNA from 1 species